ACUCUUACGGGAGGCAGCAGUGGGGAAUUUUGGACAAUGGGCGAAAGCCUGAUCCAGCCAUGCCGCGUGAGUGAAGAAGGCCUUCGGGUUGUAAAGCUCUUCAGCCGGAAAGAAAUCGCGCAGGCACUAAUACUCGCGUGGAUGACGGUACCGGAAGAAGAAGCACCGGCUAACUACGUGCCAGCAGCCGCGGUAAUACGUAGGGUGCGAGCG
rnacentral:rRNA from 1 species